CCUACGGGAGGCAGCAGUGAGGAAUAUUGGUCAAUGGACGCGAGUCUGAACCAGCCAAGUAGCGUGAAGGAUGACUGCCCUACGGGUUGUAAACUUCUUUUAUAAAGGAAUAAAAUGAGGCACGUGUGCCUUUUUGCAUGUACUUUAUGAAUAAGGAUCGGCUAACUCCGUGCCAGCAGCCGCGGUAAUACGGAGGAUCCGAGCGUUAUCCGGAUUUAUUGGGUUUAAAGGGAGCGUAGAUGGGUUGUUAAGUCAGUUGUGAAAGUUUGCGGCUCAACCGUAAAAUUGCAAUUGAUACUGGCAGUCUUGAGUACAGUUGAGGUAAGCGGAAUUCGUGGUGUAGCGGUGAAAUGCUUAGAUAUCACGAAGAACCCCGAUUGCGAAGGCAGCCUACUAAACUGUCACUGACAUUGAUGCUCGAAAGUGUGGGUAUCAAACAGGAUUAGAUACCCUUGUAGUC
rnacentral:rRNA from 1 species